GACGAACCGAGCGAACGUUGUUCGGAAUCACUGGGCUUAAAGGGCGCGUAGGCGGCUUGCCAAGUCAGGGGUGAAAUUUUGCGGCUUAACCGUAACAGUGCCUUUGAUACUGGCAGACUAGAGGGAGACAGGGGUCCGCGGAACUUCUGGUGGAGCGGUGAAAUGCGUUGAUAUCAGAAGGAACGCCGGUGGCGAAAGCGGCGGACUGGAUCUUUUCUGACGCUGAGGCGCGAAAGCUAGGGGAGCAAACGGG
rnacentral:rRNA from 1 species